CAGCACCUCAAGUGGUCAGGAUGAUUAUUGGGCCUAAAGCGUCCGUAGCCGGCCGUGUAAGUCUCCCGUUAAAUCCAGCGUCUCAAGCGUUGGACUGCGGGAGAUACUGCUCGGCUAGAGAGUGGGAGAGGUGUGCGGUAUUCUGGGGGUAGGGGCGAAAUCCUUUGAUCCCCGGAGGACCACCAGUGGCGAAGGCUGCACACUAGAACACGUCUGACGGUCAGGGACGAAAGCUGGGGUAGCGAACCGGAUUAGAUACCCGAGUAGUCC
rnacentral:rRNA from 1 species